rnacentral:lncRNA from 10 species
UUUAAAGAUAGUUUGGUGGGCAGGUGGCUAGAGGGUGGGUGUGGCUGACUGGUUGGGGAUGCAAUCAUAGGGGUAUGGAAACUGGUCCUCUCUACUGAUUCCACUUCUGGGUAGGGGCCACAGGACCAGCUGAGUCCUGAGUCUCUGGCUGGGUGGAGCACCUGGUCUUCAGAAAUACAAAGUCUGAAAAGAUAUCACAAAAGGCCAAUCUUAAAUUAUACAAUAGUGAUGUUACUUACAGGAGCAACUGGAGAAAUUGCAAAUCUUAUGAGCCCCGGAACAAUGGCUGGUAAUCAUUUAUAACUACACCUACAUUUUACAUAAUUCAGGCCCCUCUCACAAUCCUGACCUUGUAGCCUUUCAUUAGUCUUACCAAUCCGGUUUAGUUUUGGGAAGGGUUAUUUUCAUCCUCGCUUUAAGGUUAAACCAUAAACUAAAUUCCUCCCAAAAUUAGCUUGGCCCAUGCCCCCAGAAUGAUCAAGGGCAGUUUGGAGGUUAAAGGCAAGAGGGAGUUGCUUAGCUCAGAUCUCUCUUUUUUUUUGAAACAGAGUCGCGCUCUGUCACCCAGGCUGGAGUGCAAUGGCACAAUCUUGGCUCACUGCAACCUCCACCUCCCAGGUUCAAGUCAUUCUCCUGACUCAGCCUCUGGAGCAGCUGGGAUUACAGGUGUGCACCACCAUGCCCGGCUAAUUUUUGUAUUUUUAGUAGAGACGGGGUUUCACCAUGUAGGCCAGGCUGGUCUCAAACUCCUGACCUCCGGUGAUUCGCCCACCUCGGCCUGACAAGGUACUGGGAUUACAAGGCAUGGAGCCACCACACUCAGCCCUCUGCUGUCUCUUCUGAUAACUGUAAUUCAUUAUUUGUGACUGUUCCUUUAAUCCUGUCUUCCCCUCCCAUCCACACUGUUAGCCCAAGUGUCAGAGGUAUUUGAACCAGAGCAACUCCAUCUUGAAUAGGAGCUGGGUGAAGAAGCUGAGACCUACUUGGCUGCAUUCCCAGAUGGUUAUGGCAUUCUAAGUCACAGGAUGAGACAGGAGGUCAGCACAAGACACAUGUCAUAAAGACCUUGCUGAGAAAACAGGUUGCAAUAAAGAAGCUGGCUAAAACCCACCAAAACCAAGAUGGUGACAAGAAUGGCCAGAGGUGACAAGAGGUCUGGGGUGACAUAAGCUCUGACCCUCUAGUGAGCUGAGGCAGGAUGCUGGAAGGUUUCUACAGCAAAACUCAGCUCAAGUACGAAACUAAUUUUUCUGUACCUUUCUGUAAUGCAACACACAAAAAGCUUUAGCAUCUUAUUUUUUAGAGAGAGGGUCUUGCUCUUGUCACUCAGGCUGGGCAGUGGUGCAAUCACAGCUCACUGCAGCCAUGACCUCCCAGGGACUCAAGCAAUCCUCCCACCUCAGCUUCCCGAGUAGCUGGGAGGACAGGCAUGUGCCACCACACCCAGCUUUUUUUUUU